rnacentral:rRNA from 1 species
GGAGGGGUGCGAGCGUUAAUCGGAAUUACUGGGCGUAAAGCGCGCGUAGGCGGUCGGGGUCAGUCGGGAUGUGAAAGCCCCGGGCUUAACCUGGGAAUUGCAUUCGAAACUGCCUGGCUAGAGUAUGGGAGAGGGAAGUGGAAUUUCCGGUGUAGCGGUGAAAUGCGUAGAUAUCGGAAGGAACACCAGUGGCGAAGGCGGCUUCCUGGCCCAAUACUGACGCUCAGGUGCGAAAGCGUGGGGAGCAAACAGGAUUAGAUACCCUGGUAGUCCACGCCGUAAACGAUGAGGACUGGAUGUUGGGAGGGUAGCCUCUCAGUGUCGCAGCUAACGCGUUAAGUCCUCCGCCUGGGGAGUACGCCGGCAACGGUA